GGCUUCAGGCCUAACACAUGCAAGUCGAACGGUAACAGGAAGAAGCUUGCUUCUUUGCUGACGAGUGGCGGACGGGUGAGUAAUGUCUGGGAAACUGCCUGAUGGAGGGGGAUAACUACUGGAAACGGUAGCUAAUACCGCAUAACGUCGCAAGACCAAAGAGGGGGACCUUCGGGCCUCUUGCCAUCGGAUGUGCCCAGAUGGGAUUAGCUAGUAGGUGGGGUAACGGCUCACCUAGGCGACGAUCCCUAGCUGGUCUGAGAGGAUGACCAGCCACACUGGAACUGAGACACGGUCCAGACUCCUACGGGAGGCAGCAGUGGGGAAUAUUGCACAAUGGGCGCAAGCCUGAUGCAGCCAUGCCGCGUGUAUGAAGAAGGCCUUCGGGUUGUAAAUACUUUCAGCGGGGAGGAAGGCAGUAAAGUUAAUACCUUUGCUCAUUGACGUUGCCCGCAGAAGAACCACCGGCUGACUCCGUGCCUGCAACCGCCGCUAAUACGGAGGUUGCCAGCGUUAAUCCGCACUUACUGGGGCGUAAAGCGCACGCAGCGCUCUGUUAAGACGUAUGUGAACUCCCCCGGGCUCACCCUGAGGAACUGC
rnacentral:rRNA from 1 species